AACGUAGGGGGCCAGCGUUGCUCGGAAUUACUGGGCGUAAAGGGUCCGUAGGCGGUGUGGCAAGUCGGAAGUGAAAUCUCUGGGCUUAACCCAGAGGCUGCUUCCGAAACUGCCGUGCUAGAGUGCGAGAGAGGCGAGUGGAAUUGCGGGUGUAGCGGUGAAAUGCGUAGAUAUCCGCAGGAACAUCCGAGGCGAAAGCGGCUCGCUGGAUCGCAACUGACGCUGAGGAGCGAAAGCGUGGGGAGCGAACAGG
rnacentral:rRNA from 1 species